AAGGUUUUAGUUUAAAAUAAAAUUUUAUAUUUACAUUAUAAAGAAUAAUUGAAUAUUAAAAUCUUA
rnacentral:tRNA from 1 species